rnacentral:rRNA from 1 species
AACGCUAGCUACAGGCUUAACACAUGCAAGUCGACGUGCAGCAUUUCAGUUUGCUUGCAAACUGGAGAUGGCGACCGGCGCACGGGUGAGUAACACGUAUCCAACCUGCCGAUAACUCGGGGAUAGCCUUUCGAAAGAAAGAUUAAUACCCGAUGGUAUAAUCAGACCGCAUGGUCUUGUUAUUAAAGAAUUUCGGUUAUCGAUGGGGAUGCGUUCCAUUAGGCAGUUGGUGAGGUAACGGCUCACCAAACCUUCGAUGGAUAGGGGUUCUGGGAGGAAGGUCCCCCACAUUGGAACUGAGACACGGUCCAAACUCCUACGGGAGGCAGCAGUGAGGAAUAUUGGUCAAUGGGCGCAGGCCUGAACCAGCCAAGUAGCGUGAAGGAUGACUGCCCUAUGGGUUGUAAACUUCUUUUAUAUGGGAAUAAAGUUUUCCACGUGUGGAAUUUUGUAUGUACCAUAUGAAUAAGGAUCGGCUAACUCCGUGCCAGCAGCCGCGGUAAUACGGAGGAUCCGAGCGUUAUCCGGGUUUAUUGGGUUUAAAGGGAGCGUAGGUGGACAGUUAACUCAGUUGUGAAAGUUUGCGGCUCAACCGUAAAAUUGCAGUUGAUACUGGCUGUCUUGAGUACAGUAGAGGUGGGCGGAAUUCGUGGUGUAGCGGUGAAAUGCUUAGAUAUCACGAAGAACUCCGAUUGCGAAGGCAGCUCACUGGACUGCAACUGACACUGAUGCUCGAAAGUGUGGGUAUCAAACAGGAUUAGAUACCCUGGUAGUCCACACAGUAAACGAUGAAUACUCGCUGUUUGCGAUAUACAGUAAGCGGCCAAGCGAAAGCAUUAAGUAUUCCACCUGGGGAGUACGCCGGCAACGGUGAAACUCAAAGGAAUUGACGGGGGCCCGCACAAGCGGAGGAACAUGUGGUUUAAUUCGAUGAUACGCGAGGAACCUUACCCGGGCUUAAAUUGCAUUUGAAUAUAUUGGAAACAGUAUAGCCGUAAGGCAAAUGUGAAGGUGCUGCAUGGUUGUCGUCAGAUCGUGCCGUGAGGUGUCGGCUUAAGUGCCAUAACGAGCGCAACCCUUAUCUUUAGUUACUAACAGGUCAUGCUGAGGACUCUAGAGAGACUGCCGUCGUAAGAUGUGAGGAAGGUGGGGAUGACGUCAAAUCAGCACGGCCCUUACGUCCGGGGCUACACACGUGUUACAAUGGGGGGUACAGAAGGCAGCUACCUGGUGACAGGAUGCUAAUCCCAAAAGCCUCUCUCAGUUCGGAUCGAAGUCUGCAACCCGACUUCGUGAAGCUGGAUUCGCUAGUAAUCGCGCAAAAAGCCAUGGCGCGGUGAAUACGUUCCCGGGCCUUGUACACACCGCCCGUCAAGCCAUGAAAGCCGGGGGUACCUAAAGUACGUAACCGCAAGGAGCGUCCUAGGGUAAAACU